rnacentral:rRNA from 1 species
UACCAGCACCCCGAGUGGUCGGGACAAUUAUUGGGCCUAAAGCAUCCGUAGCCGGUCAUGCAAGUCUUCCGUUAAAUCCAGCCGCUCAACGGUUGGGCUGCGGAGGAUACUACGUGGCUAGGAGGCGGGAGAGGCAAGCGGUACUCAGUGGGUAGGGGUAAAAUCCUUUUAUCCAUUGAAGACCACCAGUGGCGAAGGCGGCUUGCCAGAACGCGCUCGACGGUGAGGGAUGAAAGCUGGGGGAGCAAACCGG